rnacentral:rRNA from 1 species
AUUGAACGCUGGCGGCAUGCUUUACACAUGCAAGUCGAACGGUAACAGGCCUUCGGGUGCUGACGAGUGGCGAACGGGUGAGUAAUGCAUCGGAACGUACCCAGAGGUGGGGGAUAACGCAGCGAAAGCUGUGCUAAUACCGCAUGUGAUCUGAGGAUGAAAGCGGGGGACCGAGCAGCAAUGUUUGGCCUCGCGCCUUUGGAGCGGCCGAUGUCGGAUUAGCUAGUUGGUGGGGUAAAGGCCUACCAAGGCGACGAUCCGUAGCUGGUCUGAGAGGACGACCAGCCACACUGGGACUGAGACACGGCCCAGACUCCUACGGGAGGCAGCAGUGGGGAAUUUUGGACAAUGGGCGCAAGCCUGAUCCAGCAAUGCCGCGUGCGGGAAGAAGGCCUUCGGGUCGUAAACCGCUUUUGGCAGGAACGAAACGGUGUCCGCUAAUACCGGGCGCUAAUGACGGUACCUGAAGAAUAAGCACCGGCUAACUACGUG